CUGCCCACAGCAUAAUGCUAGGCAAUGUCCAGCCGUUCCACCCGGCAUACAAGCUUAUGGAGCAGCCCCCUUUGAAGAUCUCCAGGUGGACUUCACAGAGAUGUCAAAGUGUAGAGGUGAUCGAGUGUGGAUCAAGAACUGGAACGUAGCCUCUUUGUGUCCACUGUGGAAAGGACCCCAGACUGUCGUUCUGAGCCCUCCCACCGCUGUGAAGGUAGAAGGAAUCCCAGCCUGGAUCCACCACAGCCAUGUAAAACCUGCAGCGCGUGAAACCUGGGAGGCAAGACCAAGCCCAGACAACCCUUUCAGAGUGACCCUGAAGAAGACGACAAGCCCUGCUCCAGUCACACCCGGAAGCUGACUGGUCCACGCACGGCCGAAGCCUGAGGAAGCUCAUCGUGAGAUUCAUUUUUCUUAAAUUUUGGACUUAUACAGUAAGGGCUUCAACUGAUCUUACUCAAACUGGGGACUGUUCCCAGUGUAUUCAUCAGGUCACCGAAGUAGGACAGCAAAUUAAAACAAUCUUUCUGUUCUAUAGUUAUUAUGAAUGUGUGGAAACAAUAAAAGAAACUUGUUUGUAUAAUGCCACUCAGUGCAAGGUAUGUAGCCCGAGAAAUGACCGACCUGAUGCGUGUUAUAACCCAUCUGAGCCCUCCGCAACCACCGUUUUUGAAAUAAGAAUAAGAACUGGCCUUUUCCUAGGUGAUACAAGUAAAAUAAUAACUAGAACAGAAGAAAAAGAAAUUCCCAAGCAAAUAACUUUAAGAUUUGAUGCUUGUGCAGCCAUUAAUAGUAAAAAGCUAGAAAUAGGAUGUGGUUCUCUUAACUGAGAAAGGAGCUAAAGAGUAGAAAAUAAAUAUGUUUGUCAUGAGUCAGGGGUUUGUAAAAAUUGUGCCUAUUGGCCAUGUGUUAUUUAGGCUACUUAAAAAAAGAACAAAAAGGAACCGGUUUAUCUUCAGAAGGGGGAAGCCAACCCCUCCUGUGCUGCCAGUCACUGUAACCCACUAGAACUAAUAAUUACCAAUCCCCUAGAUCCCCGUUGGAAAAAGGGAGAACGUGUAACCCUGGGGAUCAAUAGGACAGGGUUAAACCCUCAAGUUGCCAUUGUAAUUAGAGGGGAGGUCCACAAGUGCUCUCCCAAACCAGUAUUUCAAACCUUUUAUGAGGAGCUGAAUGUGCCAGCACCAGAACUUCUGAAAAAGACAAAAAAUUUGUUUCUCC
rnacentral:lncRNA from 1 species